rnacentral:rRNA from 1 species
GUUCCUGGCUCAGGAUGAACGCUAGCGACAGGCCUAACACAUGCAAGUCGAGGGGCAACAUGGUAUCAGCUUGCUGAUACCGAUGGCGACCGGCGCACGGGUGAGUAACGCGUAUGUAAUCUACCUGUAACAGAGGGAUAACCCGGAGAAAUCCGGACUAAUACCUCAUAGCACAUAUUAUUCGCAUGAAUUUUAUGUUAAAGAGACUCGGUUACAGAUGAACAUGCGUUCCA